rnacentral:lncRNA from 1 species
GGACUGGCUUGAAGUCUGCUCUGCCCCUGUCCUGGAGCAGUUUGGGGGCUGGAUGUGGAGCUGUGGGGGGAACGCAGGGUGAGCCCUCGAGGUCACGAGCUGGGGCAGAUGAGGCCAAAGGAGUCAAACCCCAAAGUGUCUGCUCCAGUUUCUGCACCUUCCCAGGCAUUGUGUGCCUCCCCUUAUCUGGGCUGAUAUUUGCAGUGCUGAUAAGAGAGGGUCUGUAACAAGUGUGCUGUGCCACAGAUAAAACCUGCAGUGCGUAAGAGCUGUUCCAGCUCGGGCUUAUCUGCACUAUGAAACCUGAAUAUCAGCAGGGCUUCGGGGAUGAGGCUGCCCUGGCUCCCUCAGCACAGAACAUUCAACCAGGGAUUGUGCUGCGAGUGCUGCUGCUCUGUUUUUCUCUGGUGCAAAAGCCAAAGGAUGAACCCUUGUUUUGUGAGUAUUUUAUUAUUUAUUUCCCUGCCGUGAUGGAUGUUAAGCAGGUACCAGAAAUACCUUCAGCUUUGGACACAACCUGCCCAAAACAGCUCUGGGAGCUCUGCAGGGGGAGGUGUUUGGCAAAGAGCUCUGCCCAGUUUAACCUGAACCAACAAUCCCAGCUCAGGGAGCAUCUUUGGGACCACUGGGAUGUGAAGGUGGCGAUGGGAAAAUUCUCCUGCUGCUGCGGGGGAGUGCUUCACCACCUCGUGGGAUGCUCACCUGGGCUGUUUUGCAGCUAAAACCCAUCCCCUGAGCGUUGUUUUUAUUCACCCUGGUGGCUGAGUGCACCUUGGUGUUCUGGGGUUGGCCUGGGAAUGUAACAGAGCUCUCCAAAGCCCCUCAGUUUCCUGCUUGUAGUGACUGGGUGGUGUGGAGGAGGCAGGGAUCCCAUGGAUAAAUGGCAUAGGGGAAAAAAUCCCAGUCUUAUGGAGCUGGGUAGAGGUGUCUGUGCUAUUUUUGGGCACUUUUCCCUGAGAGCCAUUGGCACGUGGAGGUGUCUGGCAGCUGAAGCCGCCUCUGCUGCUCCCCCAGCCCUGGUUCCCAGAGACUGGGGGUGGCUCUGAGUGAUUUGGGAGGGAG